rnacentral:lncRNA from 13 species
UACCACACCUGGCUAAUUUUUGUAUUUUAGUGGAGACGGGGUUUCACCAUGUUGGCCAGGCUGGUCUCGAACUCCUGACCUCAGGUGAUCCACCUGCCUCGGCCUCCCAAAGUGCUGGGAUUAUAGGCGUGAGCCAUCACACCCAGCCUCCCUCAGUUUCUUAAUGAGCAGUCUCCCUUUCUAGAAGGCCUUGCUCCUGCAACCCCAAAUGUGGCCCUACUGCAGACGGCCUGAGAAGUGGAGCCCUCAUCCUCCAUAGGCCUUGGGUGGCCUCCCCACUUCCCAGGAGAUGAUCUCUAUCCCAGGCUUCCAUUUUGCAUUCUUCCUUUCUCUUGCAGGCCAUUGUUUGGACCCACAGAUUCUGUUGCUUUAAGGACUAGUGACCUCACAAUCAGUUGCCAUAGAGAUCAUUGUGAUGUCACAAGCAGAGGACAAGUAGUUCAAGGAGGAGUGGGGGAAGGAAUGCAUGGCUAGACUUGAGGGACACUGGGGAUUUCUGUCCUAUUUUCAUGCCCGGAAAAGGAAGUGGCUGGAAGUGUAUCUAAGGCUGGGCACUGAUGUCUGAGGGAGACUUGCCCAUGUCUCAUAUCACUUCCCCUGGGUUCUCCUGAGACUGAUACCUCUAAGGCCCAAAUAAAGGGUCAAUGAGAAGGUACAUCAGAAACACUUCCCACCACUCUGGGGCUACAAGAAGCAGGAUGCUUUUGUAGCAGGAAGGAAUAGUAUGAGAUGUCAGGAGGAUCUGUGUGAAUGGAAGAUUCCCUGGAGGAAAUGAUGGACCCUGGCCUUGGGAAGCUUGAAGCAUGGGAGACUUGGCCUCUAGGGCUUCCAGAGCCUUGUUUAAGAACUCACCCCAGCUGGUGACCCACUCUCUGAUCACAUGGCUAUCAACCUGGCACCAGGUUCCCAGGCCCAGAGCAGCACCAUAAACCCAAUGCCUCUGGACAGAUGUAUUUUAUAAAGCAAGUGUCAUCUCAGCAGAGACUUCAAAAUAAGUCACCAAUGUGCCUGUGAUCCUACAGAUUCAUGGCCCACUUACAACUGGGGAAUUGAAGCUGGCUUCUCCAGGGACGGAGCUCUUCUCAAAACAACUGUCCAGAAAUCCCAGCAUCUCCCUAAUUCCACACGCCGUCUGCCUGCUGCCUGGGAUUCUUUACAGCAGUUGUCACAGCUCCCCAGAGCCCACAAGAAGAGUGUCUGGAGAGAAUCCAACCAGCAGAGCUGGGAGACUCUGGUCAAGAGGACCAAAAGAUUCUCUAAGGAACUUGAGGAGAAACUUCACCACCUGCUUCCGGGAUGAGGUCAGGAAGGGCAUUGGACAAUGACUGGAGCCUGGAAGCUUUGGGGAGAAACCAAGUUCAUAUGAAAAGAACUAAACACAAAACUGCCCUUCUCCCAGGGGGCAAUAAUGACUUCAGUCCUCCUAUUCCUCUACAG